CGCUGUGCGCGUCGGUCGAUAGACGCGAUACUCUGAAUUAUGGAUCGGUGACUCGGGAACGAAUAGAAUAAGUGUUGUAGUUUACGCGGGAUACGAGAGAAAAGCGAAAGCUCGCUUGAGUUAGUGAAAAUCGCGUCGACAUAAUAAAAAAUUGGGAAUUGGUAUGAUGAGCCACCGCGGCAAGGGGCGGUGUAGAGGUCAUCGAGGAGACGAGGAAAGAGGAAACUGCGUGUGUCGCGCGGUGGUUCGUCUAUAUAUACGGACGGCGUCUCUACGCGAGCGCGCAUAUACACUGCUAUAUACGUUGGCGCGUUGGCGCACUCGAUUUUACACGUAAAUGCGGCGGCAUUUAGUGCACUCGUGUUUCGAAUGAUUUGUCCUAUUAUGAUCCGCGGCCCAAACGGAAUUCAUGCGAGCAGGGGGAGCACCAAUAUCCUAUUUAUUAUCCAACCUCGAAUAUUUAUCCUCACCAAAAAUCAAGAGACUCGGUAGAGUCUCGGGACAAGUAUCUAACGAGCGGAAUUUUUAUUCCUUGUGAGCCGUCGGUCAAAUUUUUCCAAAACAAACCCACACGAGUGAAUGAACUAUAUAGGCCAAGAUGGAUAUUUGAUUUUUCAAAUAAAUUAUGAAUGAUAACGACCAAGCGAGGAAGGUUCGGAGAGAUUCUCGGUGGAAAAAAAUGUACCUUCGACGAAGCAAGGGUGUCGAAACGGGAAGGUGUUCAGGAAGCAGUAACGAUUUGAUGUACACGGGUCGUUAAUGGUCAUUUGCAUGGAAUUAUCGUGGUGCCUCCCAGACCCUCUUUGACUCGGCAAGAGCUUUGCCUCAUACCGGACAAUCAUGGCGAAGGAAAAACCGGAAGAACCGCAGCAGGAGCGUAAUGUCCAAGUCGAUGCUUAAGAACAGAUGGAAAACGGCGAGUGAAGAAAAC